UACGUAGGGUGCAAGCGUUAAUCGGAAUUACUGGGCGUAAAGCGUGCGCAGGCGGUCCGUUAAGACAGAUGUGAAAUCCCCGGGCUUAACCUGGGAACUGCAUUUGUGACUGGCGGACUCGAGUAUGGCAGAGGGGGGGUAGAAUUCCACGUGUAGCAGUGAAAUGCGUAGAGAUGUGGAGGAAUACCGAUGGGCGAAGGCAG
rnacentral:rRNA from 1 species